AUCUGUAAUAAUUUUUCCGUUACUUUUAAUCAGAAGAUAUUUUAUUUUUUCGGUUUAUUCUGAAUUAUCUUCACUUCCUUCUCAAUUAUCUUAUUUCAAUUUUAUUUUAUUCCCUUUUCAGUCAUUCAUUCAUGCUUCUAGUUCGUUAAUGUUAUUUAACAAGUCAAGUGUGAAUAUAAGUUUAAUCAAAUGGACAAGUAUUAUUUUGAUUGGUUUUGAUCCACUGAGAGAUGGGCUUCCUUGGCUUUCACCAUCAUCUUCAACAUCUUCAUCAUUUUCAUCAUUUUCAUCAGCAAGUGAUUCCUUUCUGGUAAAACAGUGAAAAUCCUAUUUUCAAUUGAAGUGACACAAUAAGGAUUGUUGGUUUGUAAAAGUCUAGUCAAUACCAGUACACAAAAAAGUGAGGGAAUUCAAUCCCAAAGUUGCAUUCUGUAGAUUGGUUCUUAGGUGAUUGUUAUUUUACUGUAAAGGAGCAACAAUUACGUGUAAUGAUGAGCAGAAAAAAAGUUGAAUCAUUGGAGUCAAUGAAUUUUUUAUAUUUUUACACAAAAAAAAGAUGUAAUAAAUUUGAUGAAAUGAUUUCCUCUUGGACAACCUUUUUUAAUAAAAAGGGCAAAUGAGGUGAUUCAAAAAGCUGAUUGAAUUGAUGCAAGAAACAAUUUUGGCUCACAGUUCAUACAAAGUAGUUAUGUGAUUGACAUGAAGAAAUUUAUUGCGUAUAAAAUAGGUGAAUCUGCAUCAAUAUUAUAAUAGUAUGAUCUUUCAUCGAUGGUCAUGGACCACAUAAUUUAUUGUUUGCAAGGAAAGGAAUGGAAAUUACCUUCGAUUGAAACGCUCUCAGGACAUUUCACAAAUCCACAUCCAUUUGCUCAAAACAAAGCCAAAUCGCAAAUACAGUUAAUUUCGCAAGCAUGAUUUCUUGACCGUAUGUGGUUUCGCUUCACGAAACACUGAAUCUAGAGCUUAAAUUUCCAAGAUACGAUUCCUAACUCGAGUUAGAGAUCACCUAUUCAAUCCAAUUCAAUGUUUAAUGUCCUCAUCAACUUGGACUUGUGAAUUUGAUGUUUAUGGUCAAUUCAUUUUAAACUUAAUUUCUAGUCAGAGAGGAUGAUUCAUUUUUACGUUUUUCACUGUAAAAAAAUGAGUUUUGAUCGACUUCUAGGAACUCCGGAUAUUAGAGAAGAUUCAGUUUCCUUAAAAAAAAUAUCUUUCAACUUGAAGCUCAACUUUAUCAACAUUAAUUCAAAAUGUUUGUCCUUUUAUUCACAUAACCACUUUAAACAACUGGACCCUCUUUUUCACACUCAAUUGUGUUCAUAUGAUUAGAAGUAGUCGAUAGAAAUAUUGAGAUUGACUUUUGAAAGCCAUUUGCGGUUAUUGAAAGCUCUAAAGGAAUAAUUUUUGCAUUAAUAUUAUUGAAGCAAAUUGUAUUUGAAAUAUUCAGUGAUCAUUAACAAUUUACAGAUUGUUAACCAUGUCCAGUUUAUUGGUAAAAUUGAAGGAAUUUUGAGUAAAAAUAAGUCUUUUUGAAGUGUUGAGGAUUUUCAAUUCCAAGAAAUGAUUUCAAAUUUUUUCAAGUUCUCAUCGAUAUUAUGAAAAAGUCUGUUAAAUCAUUUAAAUGUUAAUAAGAGAUAUUACAGCUUUGAUUAUUUGAACAAAGGCAAUAAUAAUAAUGAUAAUAAAAGCAAUAACAUUAAUGAUAAUUAUGAUUAAAGAAAAAGAGAGAAAAUCAGAAAUAAAAAGUUACUAUUAAAAAACAUGAGUCUCAUGAGUAACAAAUCGACUAAUAAUUUAACUGAAGAUUGACAUUUAUUUUUUAUAUUAACGCCAUUCUUGUUGUAUUUUGUCACUUUUGUUGCUUAUUAUUGCUCAUUGUUUGUUUAAUUGUUACUAAUCACUAUUAACUUGAGUAACAGCCUGAGUAAACACAAGUUGAGGUUAACUUGGUAAAGCAACAACCAAAGUUAAUGUGUUAAGUCAAGUAAAGUAAAGUCAAACAUGAAUGAACAAGUUGAACAUAUUGAUAGGAAUAAAAUAAGAGUAAGAUUGAAUUGAAAUGAAACUUAUUGAUCAGAUAGAUGAUUUGAAAUGAUAUCUUUUCACAUUCAUUGAAAGCCUUUGUAAAUAUAUGUUGAUAUGAAUGAUAAUCUUUACUGAUCCAGUUCUCAUUGCCAUUAAAACAGCGUUAAUCCAUUGACAGUGAAACAAGAAAUUUAUGUUUUCCUUUUUUUAUAUACAUUUAUAUGUACUUUUUGUGCAUUUGGUUAAUUGUUACAAACCAAAGGAACUUACAAUUCACCUUAUUAUUGAUCUUUUUUUUCUCAAGCUUUAAUUUAAUUUAUGAAGGAGAAACCAAUAAAUGGUUUUCCUCUUUUCUUGAUUAACGAUAUUUAUAUAAUGAUAAUGUUGAGCAAAUACAAGUUGAAUAUAUUUUUAUGUGUUAAGCAUAAGGUUGUGAACAUAAAAAUGAUUCCGAUAAUAAAGAAGGUGAUCAACUUAAGAAUCAUCUCAUGCAAUAAUCAAAUGAUGAUGACUUUGAUCAUACUCAACCUGAUCAUCAUCAUCAUCGUCAUCAUCUUGAUCCUACUCAUCGCACUCAUCACACUCAUCAUUGUCAUCAAUUUCGAGGGUUAACUGAUUGAAAAAUCAUGAAAAAGAUAUAAUUGUACAAUUGACCAAAUCUAUUGAAUAAAGUAUGUUUUAUGGUGGCUUAAA